UGGCCUAGUGAUUAAGGCUUUGGAUUGCCAAUCCAGAGACUACGGGUUUGAUUCCCGU
rnacentral:tRNA from 1 species